ACGCGAAGAACCUUAACCUGGCCUUGACAUCCUAGGAAGCCUGCAGAGAUGCGGGUGUGCCUUCGGGAACCUGGAGACAGGUGCUGCAUGGCUGUCGUCAGCUCGUGUCGUGAGAUGUUGGGUUAAGUCCCGCAACGAGCGCAACCCUUGUCCUUAGUUGCCAGCACGUAAUGGUGGGAACUCUAAGGAAACCGCCGGUGACAAACCGGAGGAAGGUGCGGAUCACCUCAACUCACACGGCCUUUCCAAAAAGGGAUCCAAAAUGCCUAAAACAAUAAUAGAAAAGACGCUUCAUCACCACAAAAAACUCACAACACACUAACAAACACCCUGCCCCCACGCAGUACCUCACCAUCAAGCUGACCCACAACACAAGUACAUCACCACACGCCACUGCCGCGCAACACCACUUAUCAUACAAAAACUCCGGCGCGAAGCAGACACAAUACACCACUA
rnacentral:rRNA from 1 species